rnacentral:rRNA from 1 species
AUGAACUCCGAGAUUAUCGAUCGAAUUAGGAAGAGGAGAAGCGAGGAUGAUGAAGAUAUGAUGUCCUUUAUUCUGCCCGUAUUGCAUCGAAUGCGUAGUAGAGGGCCAAUCGAGAGAACUCAGUGACAUAGCUCCAUCUUAUAUGGCAAGAAGCGGGUUGAUGAUAUCCUUAGAGGCCAUGUGAAGAAUUGCCUAGUAGCUUAUAGGAUGGAGCCACGUAUCUUCCGGCUUUGGCAUCUUACCUUAGAAGAGAAAAUCUGA